UACGUAGGGUGCGAGCGUUAAUCGGAAUUACUGGGCGUAAAGCGUGCGCAGGCGGUUGUGUAAGACAGGUGUGAAAUCCCCGGGCUUAACCUGGGAACUGCGCUUGUGACUGCACAGCUAGAGUAUGGCAGAGGGGGGUGGAAUUCCACGUGUAGCAGUGAAAUGCGUAGAGAUGUGGAGGAACACCGAUGGCGAAGGCAGCCCCCUGGGCCAAUACUGACGCUCAUGCACGAAAGCGUGGGGAGCAAAC
rnacentral:rRNA from 2 species